rnacentral:rRNA from 1 species
CUUUAAUGGAGAGUUUGAUCCUGGCUCAGGACGAACGCUGGCGGCGUGCCUAAUACAUGCAAGUCGAGCGGACUUGAUGGAGAGCUUGCUCUCCUGAUAGUUAGCGGCGGACGGGUGAGUAACACGUAGGCAACCUGCCUGUAAGACCGGGAUAACUAGCGGAAACGUUAGCUAAUACCGGAUAAUUUAUUUCAUCGCAUGGUGGAAUAAUGAAAGACGGAGCAAUCUGUCACUUACGGAUGGGCCUGCGGCGCAUUAGCUAGUUGGUGGGGUAAAGGCCUACCAAGGCGACGAUGCGUAGCCGACCUGAGAGGGUGAACGGCCACACUGGGACUGAGACACGGCC